rnacentral:rRNA from 1 species
AGUGAACGCUGGCGGUAGGCCUAACACAUGCAAGUCGAACGGCAGCACAGUAAGAGCUUGCUCUUACGGGUGGCGAGUGGCGGACGGGUGAGGAAUACAUCGGAAUCUACUUUUUCGUGGGGGAUAACGUAGGGAAACUUACGCUAAUACCGCAUACGACCUACGGGUGAAAGCAGGGGAUCUUCGGACCUUGCGCGAUUGAAUGAGCCGAUGUCGGAUUAGCUAGUUGGCGGGGUAAAGGCCCACCAAGGCGACGAUCCGUAGCUGGUCUGAGAGGAUGAUCGGCCACACUGGAACUGAGACACGGUCCAGACUCCUACGGGAGGCAGCAGUGGGGAAUAUUGGACAAUGGGCGCAAGCCUGAUCCAGCCAUACCGCGUGGGUGAAGAAGGCCUUCGGGUUGUAAAGCCCUUUUGUUGGGAAAGAAAAGCAGCAGGUUAAUACCCCGCUGUUCUGACGGUACCCAAAGAAUAAGCACCGGCUAACUUCGCG